AUUGAUGACAAGGAGUUUGAUAUUCCUCAAGUUGAUACUCCUCCAACACUGGAAAGCAUACUAAAUGAGACUGAUGAUGAAGAUGAGUCUUUUAUUCUUGAGGAUCCUACAUUGUUAAACAUUGAUACUAUUGAUUCUCACUCCUAUGAUACUUCAUCUGUGGCAAGCUCAGAUAGUGGUGACAGGACCAACUUAAAAAGGAAGAAGAAAUUACCUGAUUCUUUUUCACUUCAUGGAUCAGUUAUGCGCCAUUCACUUUUGAAGGGAAUUUCUGCCCAGAUAGUGUCUGCAGCUGACAAAGUAGAUGCUGGCUUGCCUACAGCAAUUAUCAGAAUCAAGCUUUGCGACUCUGUCUGGGUAGCACUAGUGUUGGAGGUCAGUAUGGCGCUAUCUCUGCCCUCAGUAUCAACAAUGAUUGCUCAAGACUUCUUUGUGGCUUUGCUAAAGGACAGAUCACCAUGUGGGAUUUGGCCAGUGGAAAACUUCUAAGAUCAAUAACAGAUGCUCAUCCUCCAGGAACAGCAAUAUUGCAUAUCAAGUUUACAGAUGAUCCAACUCUUGCAAUUUGCAACGACAGC
rnacentral:lncRNA from 1 species